rnacentral:rRNA from 1 species
UACGUAGGUGGCAAGCGUUGUCCGGAUUUACUGGGCGUAAAGGGCUUGUAGGCGGUUUGUUAAGUCUGGUGUGAAAUCUCCCGGCUCAACCGGGAGGGGUCAUCGGAUACUGGCAGACUUGAGACGGGUAGAGGAAAGCAGAAUUCCCGGUGUAGCGGUGAAAUGCGUAGAUAUCGGGAGGAAUACCAGUGGCGAAGGCGGCUUUCUGGGCCUGUUCUGACGCUGAGGAGCGAAAGCGUGGGGAGCAAACCGGAUUAGAUACCCGGGUAGUCCACGCCCUAAACGGUGGAUGCUAGGUGUGGGGGGUGUCGACCCCCUCCGUGCCGCAGCUAACGCUUUAAGCAUCCCGCCUGGGGAGUACGGCCGCAAGGCUAAA